AUGAUUCGAAUACGUACCACCCGUACUCAAUCUCCAUUCGGGUGAGUUUGGAGCUGUUUAUUCAAAUUUCGGGCAUUUAUCGGGCAUGCUAGUUAGAGUCGAGCCGAUCGCGAAUGAAAUGCUAUACGAUCGAGCUGGAUUGGACAAGAGUUUUGGAGCUUAGGCGAUAAUUUACCAGCUAAGUCCUUUCCAUUUGUACACUUGUUUAUUUAUUUUGUUUUUAGGUUUUAGGAGUCAUGUUUCCAUCCUUGCAUUAGGGACAAUGCAAUAUUUAAGUGUGGGGAUGGGAGCUAGUAUUUAGUGUGUCUAGUUAGUAGUGUCAUGAAAAAUUGAAAAAUCCAAAAAAAAAAUUAAAAAAUUCAAAAAUCCAAAAAAAUUAAAAAAAUCAGAAAAUGUCUUUUGAAUAAGAAGUUUGCAAAGUAAAAACGGAAAGUGAUAGAGAAGUUGGGUUUUUGUUCGGGUUCGAAUAAUAAUAAUAUGAGAAUAAAAUAAUCGGGUUUGUGUCUAGUUUGGGAUGUGCGGGUAGGCUCGGUUCGGUUUUGAGUUUCCUUUGAUCUUAAUAUACCUAAUUGUCGGUCUACUAGUGGGUUCUCAUCUAGGGAAAGUGGGGAAAUCGAAACCGCAAAAAAUAACAUAAGGGGCACCGUUAUAAGUUAAAACCGUUAGAGUUUGUG
rnacentral:lncRNA from 1 species